GGACUGUGUUCUACUGUACUUUCUCCACCCCUGAAGGAGCUCCAAAACCGGAGAUCUGGGUGAUUCGCCCAGGCCAUCAGGUGGUAGUGGUAAACUGUAACAGACCCAAGGUAACCGACACACACCACGAUUCACCCAAAGCGGUUGGUCAAAACUCUCCGACAGCCUCUCUUUCUGCCUCUCCGACAUGCCGUUAAAGGCAGGACCAAUAACCUAUAUAGUCAACUUGCUCUUGCUCAUACAAGGAGGAAAAUGCUUAAUAUGUGGGCUAAUACCACACAGUUCCACAGGGGACUGUGUGGUAUUACCAGAUCAAAAUCAUCCUUAACGUGUGUAAAGGAUGGGACAGACACUUUACUUGCCCUAAUAUCUGUAGCCGCUACCUGUGACAUAUAUGCCUUAGAAGGUACUUAUUGGGUGUUUGUAUGAUUUUCUACCUAAUAACUGGGCUGGCACUUGUGGAUUGGAAUAUGUCAUUCCGGCAAUGCGAGUCUCGGAUUCUUUACCUGUUGUUGUCAAUAGUAGCCAGUGGGCAACACGUGACCUAUCCUGGCUGACCCAUAAGCAGAGCUGGGGCACUCGAACGAUGGUGUGAUGCAGUCCUUGGAUCAGUUAAUGAAAUGAUUCAAGUUGCCCACCAGGCCCACAAUGAUGACAUCAAAGGACCACUUUCCUGUAUAGCUGGGCUAUGGGUUCGGAUGUUUUGCGAUUCUUCGCAUAUCAACAGUUGAACAGGUUAUGACGUUUUCUGUAGUUUUGUUCCUGGAGGAGGAUAACUGUGUGGCACUAGUUCCACGCCUGUGUCUCAAAGGAGGACUUUGCUCCACACAGCAUCACCAUCAUCCACAACAAGUUUGCCAGAACUUGUUCACUACCUGAAGACACCUGGGAGGCUGUCCCUUAUAAGCUCAUCAAGAAUGCAGCUUCUGAUAAACGUCUGACUGAAAAGAAUGUCAAGGCGAGGGCACAGCUGGCUCUACAAUUAGCCAUAAGGAAGAAUCCUUCCAACCGGGAUGCCACUGACGAGGCUGUCCAGAACCAGGUCCCUAGGUACCAGAAAGGGGCAGCUGACCAUGCAUGUGGAAGAAGACCUGGGAGGGACCUGCUGUGAAUAUGAAUGACAUCUCCAGCACAACCAAUAUUGCUGCUAAUCUACAAUCUAUUUUAUUUUUAACUGCUGCUGUGUACAGUGUUAUAUGAUCGCAUUAUCCUCUUAAUAUAUUUAAAGUGUGAAUUUUCUUAAUUUUGACUGUAGUUGUAGUGUGCUAUGCUACCAUUCAUAAGCUUAUUGCACUGAUGUAUCUAUAAUAUUCAAUAACUAUUGAUUGCUGCUAGGUCACACUUGUAUUACUGCCAUUCUAGCCCUUGUUUAUUUUGUAUUGUAUUAUGUAUAUUUUGUACUUUUUCAUACUCAAAUACUGUAAAUACAAGUUUUCUUGCACUAUGAGAUAAAAAAAAGUAU
ensembl:lncRNA